rfam:Triticum aestivum genome assembly, contig: Triticum_aestivum_CS42_TGACv1_scaffold_018988_1AS
ACUGAUGUAUUCAACGAGUAUAUAGCCUUGGCCGACAGGCCCGGGUAAUCUUGGGAAAUUUCAUCGUGAUGGGGAUAGAUCAUUGCAAUUGUUGGUCUUGAAC